AAGACCUUGCACCAGGCACCUCGUUCUCAGUUGGUUCCUUGCACUGUGAGCUCUAAAAGAAGCGCUGUCCUGGCCUUGGGUUUGCAUGCUUUUAGGCAAAGGCGCUUCAAGAAGAUACCCAAGAACUCUUUGUGGAAGGAGAAAUGGGACAGAGCUUUUUAGCAAUUGCUUGGUGAUCUCUGCAGCACAUGGGCACCCUGCCUCAGUCCUACCUGCACCCGCCUGCAGGAGUUGGUCUGCGUGUUUAUGGAAAGCGCUGAGUCUUCAAAGGGCUUUUCAGAAGGUGGGAUGUGGCAAUGGACGUACCAACACAGGUCCCUCAGUGGCUGUGGAUCACUGCACCGACCACCAUGUAAACGAGAGACCAUGACAGGAGGAACAGAUCCUUGGGGCUGAACCACCAGCAGACCAACAGCACAGAAACCAGAUAAAAGCAGGCAGAUUUGAGAUUCUGCCUUCGCUCUGUUCCAUGAAAUCCUUGCAUCCUUCAGACUUGCCUUGCAGCUAACGAGUGCUCCGGACCAGACGAUGAGGUAAGGGGUCCCUUGGGCAGGAAGGCAAGCUAUCUGCAGGCAGCUGUUGGGCUGCAGGGCGAAGCCAUUUUAAUUACCUGGCAGCAGAGCACCAGCUGAAGAAUGGUCAAUGUGUAAAGCAAGCGGGGCUGGGAUGUCUGCAGAAGGCUGCCUGCUGAUCUUGGGCUAGAUUAAAUUCUUCUGUGAGGGCUGACCACAGCUUUAUGGCAGCAGGGUUGGGUUGGGGCAAUGCCUGUGCCCCCAAAGCAAGGCAAUUGCACCCUAAGCAAGACCUGCGACUUCGGCAGGAGCUGAAGCUGCUGCUUUUCCAUCCUUAGAAUUGCGGAGGGCAGACCCCACCUCCUCCAAGUCCUAGAUUUCCAAGACCCCCUGGGUUGUGUCAUCCCCAAAAGGGGCACUGCUGGGCCACGUGCUGUGCUUAGAGUUCAGCACAGCGCCUGGCCCCCUACAACCCAGGUCCUGCUGUACCCCCAGCAGGUUGCUCACACCUCUAUCUGUCUCCAUGCUGCCCUGGGCUCCGUGCCUCCUUCCCCGCUCUCUCCCACGGGAUCCAGGAGCUGCAGCAUUCUCCCAUUCUCCUUCUCCUCCAUGCAAGGAGCCGCACCCUGAGCCCAUCGAGCUCUGACUUGCUGGAACAGCUUGGGCUGGUUCUGGGCAGGACAUGCUGCGACCUGCUUCUUCCUCCUGGCCCUUGGAGCACUGACACGUAGGCUGCUGGGCACGCUGGAUGCAGCUGUGCACUGCGGGAUCCAACCCUCAGACUUUGGUGUGGAAAAGGUGCAGGUCUGUGAGUCACCUGGAUUCAGCAGGUUUCUGCUCCCUUCCCUUGCUCUGGGGGUGGACGGGGUCUCCGGGCUCCAUUCCUGCCCCUCCUGCUCCAAUAACCCCAGGGUUAUUGUGGGAGCUCACAUCAGACCCCAGGGCAGAUGCAUGUGGCUGCAGCCAUUGGAUCCCCCAUAGCCAAGUGAGGGGGACAUCCUGGUGCCAUCUGGUGUCCUUUGGUCCCAGAGCUGCGGUAAGGACGUUAGGGGAAGUGCAUGCUGCACCACUGCAUUUCAGGGCUCAGUACAAAUAUGUCUGGCUUGCACAGCUACAAAUCCCCCCCUUAAAUGCCAUGUUUUUUCUCCAAUCCAGCACAAGCAUCCUAGCUGGGCUAACACAUGGGCAGCUGCCCCCACCGCUUCCCCCAGAGGAGCUCAGGCAAGCACAACACAAUGCAUAAUUAGGUUAAUGAGCUAAGCACGGAUUUUAAUUGGGAUUCCCUGAUUUACUGGUCUGUCUCCUCCUUUUGUUUUAUUGCCGGUGAAGGUUCCUAAAAGCUGCCCUUGCUAAUGGCUUUGAUAUCAGAAAGGUCUUAUGGAUCUUUAAUUGUAUUUAAUCAUCAAGGUAAUUAAUGAUCCUUGAGCAAAAUGGAGAUUGCAUCUAGAGGAGUUCCAAUCUUGCCCUUCAGCUUCUGUUGUGUCUGGGCAAGGCAUCCUGCAGACAUGUAGGAAGUGGGGGGGAGGAACAGGGAAA